rnacentral:rRNA from 1 species
UACGUAGGUGGCAAGCGUUGUCCGGAAUUAUUGGGCGUAAAGCGCGCGCAGGCGGUCCUUCAAGUCAGAGGUGAAAGCCCAGAGCUCAACUCUGGAACGGCCUUUGAGACUAGAGGACUUGGGUACGGGAGAGGUGAGUGGAAUUCCGAGUGUAGAGGUGAAAUUCGUAGAUAUUCGGAAGAACACCAGUGGCGAAGGCGGCUCACUGGCCCGUUACCGACGCUCAGGCGCGACAGCGUGGGGAGCAAACAGG